AUUCCAGCUCCAAUAGCGUAUAUUAAUGUUGUUGCAGUUAAAAAGCUCGUAGUUGGAUUUCUGGUGGGAGUGGCCGGUCCGCCGUAAGGUGUGUACUUGGUUGUCUCCCGUCAUCCUUGUGGGAACUGCUCUGGCAUUAAGUUGUCGGGGUUAGGGAACACAUCGUUUACUGUGAAAAAAUUAGAGUGUUUAAAGCAGGCUUAUGCCGUUGAAUACAUUAGCAUGGAAUAAUAAGAUAGGACUUUGGCGUCUAUUUUGUUGGUUUGCACACCAAGGUAAUGAUUAAUAGGGAUAGUUGGGGGUAUUCGUAUUUAAUUGUCAGAGGUGAAAUUCUCAGACCAGCGGAAGACGAACUACUGCGAAAGCAUUUGCCAGGGAUGUUUUCAUCA
rnacentral:rRNA from 1 species